AGCUUUGAUCCGUAGAUGUCCGAAUGGGGAAACCCACUCCUUUUGGAGUAUCCAUGGCUGAAUACAUAGGCCAUGCGAAGCGAACGCGGUGAACUGAAACAUCUAAGUAACCGCAGGAAAAGAAAUCAACCGAGAUUCCCAAAGUAGUGGCGAGCGAAAUGGGAUGAGCCUUGCACUCUUUAUUUGUAUUGUUAGCCGAACGCUCUGGAAAGUGCGGCCAUAGCAGGUGAUAGCCCUGUAGGCGAAAACAGUAUGAAAGAACUAGGUGUGCGACAAGUAGGGCGGGACACGUGAAAUCCUGUCUGAAGAUGGGGGGACCAUCCUCCAAGGCUAAAUACUCGUGAUCGACCGAUAGUGAACCAGUACCGUGAGGGAAAGGCGAAAAGAACCCCGGGAGGGGAGUGAAAUAGAUCCUGAAACCGCAUGCAUACAAACAGUCGGAGCCUCGUAAGGGGUGACGGCGUACCUUUUGUAUAAUGGGUCAGCGACUUACGUUCAGUAGCAAGCUUAACCGUAUAGGGCAGGCGUAGCGAAAGCGAGUCCGAAUAGGGCGUUCAGUUGCUGGGCGUAGACCCGAAACCAGGUGAUCUAUCCAUGGCCAGGAUGAAGGUGCGGUAACACGUACUGGAGGUCCGAACCCACUAACGUUGAAAAGUUAGGGGAUGAGCUGUGGAUAGGGGUGAAAGGCUAAACAAACCUGGAAAUAGCUGGUUCUCUCCGAAAACUAUUUAGGUAGUGCCUCGUGUCUCACCUUCGGGGGUAGAGCACUGUCAUGGUUGGGGGGUCUAUUGCAGAUUACCCCGCCAUAGCAAACUCCGAAUACCGAAGAGUGCAAUCACGGGAGACAGACAUCGGGUGCUAACGUCCGGUGUCAAGAGGGAAACAACCCAGACCGCCAGCUAAGGUCCCCAAAUAUAGCUAAGUGGGAAACGAAGUGGGAAGGCUAAAACAGUCAGGAGGUUGGCUUAGAAGCAGCCACCCUUUAAAGAAAGCGUAAUAGCUCACUGAUCGAGUCGUCCUGCGCGGAAGAUGUAACGGGGCUAAGCUAUAUACCGAAGCUGCGGAUGCGUGCUU
rnacentral:rRNA from 1 species